UAGUCCACGCCGUAAACGAUGUUCACUCGCUGUCUGCGAUACACAGUAGGCGGCUGAGCGAAAGCAUUAAGUGAACCACCUGGGGAGUACGAUCGCAAGGUUGAAACUCAAAGGAAUUGACGGGGGCCCGCACAAGCGGAGGAACAUGUGGUUUAAUUCGAUGAUACGCGAGGAACCUUACCUGGGCUUAAAUGUAGAUUGCAUAGAGUAGAAAUAUUCUUUCCCUUCGGGGCUAUUUACAAGGUGCUGCAUGGUUGUCGUCAGCUCGUGCCGUGAGGUGUCGGGUUAAGUCCCAUAACGAGCGCAACCCCUAUCGUUAGUUGCCAGCGGAUAAUGCCGGGGACUCUAGCGAGACUGCCACCGUAAGGUGAGAGGAAGGUAAGGAUGACGUCAAGUCAGCAUGCCCCUUAUGCUCUGGGCUACACACGUGCUACAAUGGCCGUGACAAAGAGUUGCUACUUUGUGAAAACAAGCUAAUCUCAUAAACGCGGCCUCAGUUCGGAUUGC
rnacentral:rRNA from 1 species